rnacentral:rRNA from 1 species
AACGAACGCUGGCGGCAUGCCUAACACAUGCAAGUCGAACGAGACCUUCGGGUCUAGUGGCGCACGGGUGCGUAACGCGUGGGAACCUGCCCUUAGGUUCGGAAUAACUCCCCGAAAGGGGUGCUAAUACCGGAUAAUGUCUUCGGACCAAAGAUUUAUCGCCUUUGGAUGGGCCCGCGUUGGAUUAGCUAGUUGGUAGGGUAAAACCUACCAAGGCGACGAUCCAUAGCUGGUCUGAGAGGAUGAUCAGCCACACUGGGACUGAGACACGGCCCAGACUCCUACGGGAGGCAGCAGUGGGGAAUAUUGGACAAUGGGCGAAAGCCUGAUCCAGCAAUGCCGCGUGAGUGAUGAAGGCCUUAGGGUUGUAAAGCUCUUUUACCCGGGAUGAUAAUGACAGUACCGGGAGAAUAAGCUCCGGCUAACUCCGUG